rnacentral:rRNA from 1 species
GGGCCCGCACAAGCGGCGGAGCAUGUUGCUUAAUUCGAUGCAACGCGAAGAACCUUACCUAGGCUUGACAUGCACGGAAAUCUCGCAGAGAUGCGGGGUCCGUAAGGGCCGUGCACAGGUGGUGCAUGGUUGUCGUCAGCUCGUGUCGUGAGAUGUUGGGUUAAGUCCCGCAACGAGCGCAACCCUCGUUCUAUGUUGCCAGCACGUCAUGGUGGGGACUCAUAGGAGACUGCCGGGGUCAACUCGGGGGAAGGUGGGGAUGACGUCAAAUCAUCAUGCCCCUUAUGUCUUGGGCUUCACACAUGCUACAAUGGCCUAUACAGAGGGCUGCGAAAUCGCAAGAUGGAGCGAAUCCCAAAAAGCCGGUCUCAGUUCGGAUUGGGGUCUGCAACUCGACCCCAUGAAGUCGGAGUCGCUAGUAAUCGCAGA